rnacentral:rRNA from 1 species
GAUGAACGCUGGCGGCGUGCCUAAUACAUGCAAGUCGAGCGAACAGACGAGGAGCUUGCUCCUCUGACGUUAGCGGCGGACGGGUGAGUAACACGUGGAUAACCUACCUAUAAGACUGGGAUAACUUCGGGAAACCGGAGCUAAUACCGGAUAAUAUAUUGAACCGCAUGGUUCAAUAGUGAAAGACGGUUUUGCUGUCACUUAUAGAUGGAUCCGCGCCGCAUUAGCUAGUUGGUAAGGUAACGGCUUACCAAGGCAACGAUGCGUAGCCGACCUGAGAGGGUGGUCGGCCCCACUGGAACUGAGACACGGUCCAAACUCCUACGGGAGGCAGCAGGAGGGAAUCUUCCGCAAUGGGCGAAAGCCUGACGGAGCAACGCCGCGUGAGUGAUGAAGGUCUUCGGAUCGUAAAACUCUGUUAUUAGGGAAGAACAAAUGUGUAAGUAACUAUGCACGUCUUGACGGUACCUAAUCAGAAAGCCACGGCUAACUACGGG